UCUCGGCACCUGUGCGACAGGAACUCUGUGAACCGGGUCAGGUGGGGAACCAAGCAGCCCUAAGCAGCCGACUUGGGCGCCGGGACACUCCGGGGCAG
rnacentral:SRP_RNA from 1 species